GCAAGGAAAACUGAAAUUUGGGCUAAAAUGGGGAAAAUACCAAGUUGUGGACGAAAUGGUAAAAAUAGCCAUUUUCGCAUACGAGUGUUGACAAGCCAGCUCGGAAAUCGGAAACGGUCGGAGGCACGCUCACACUAUCCGUAUACCAUCUUGGCAUAAUAGCUUGUAUAUUUUGAGUAUGGCAUGUAUAGCAUUAUAAUCAUUUUAUAUGUAUGGUAUUAUGAUAUGGUUAUUGAGUGGUAUGGAAAUAGAAAUGCUUGGUAAUGAUUAGCCAUUGGAAUGGCUAAUCAUGAUCA